rnacentral:lncRNA from 1 species
UGAUGAUCGUCCUCGCCCUCAGCAGAUGAUCGUCCUCUCCCUUAGCUGAUAAGCUUCGUCUACCUCAGCUGAUGAUCAUCCUCGCCCUCAGCAGAUGAUCGUCCUCUCACUCAGCUGAUGAGCUUCGUCUACCUCAGCUGAUGAUCAUCCUCGCCCUCAGCAGAUGAUCGUCCUCUCCCUCAGCCGAUGAGCUUCGUCUACCUCAGCUGAUGAUCGUCCUCGCCCUCAGCAGAUGAUCGUCCUCUCCCUCAGCUGAUGAUCGUCGUCUACCUCAGCUGAUAAGCUUCGUCCUGAGCUGAUGAUCGUCCUCGCCUUCAGCAGAUGAUCGUCCUCUCCCUUAGCUGAUAAGCUUCGUCUACCUCAGCUGAUGAUCAUCCUCGCCCUCAGCAGAUGAUCGUCCUCUCACUCAGCUGAUGAGCUUCAUCUACCUCGGCUGAUGAUCAUCCUCGCCCUCAGCAGAUGAUCGUCAUCUCCCUCAGCCGAUGAGCUUCGUCUAC